GAUGAACGCUAGCUACAGGCUUAACACAUGCAAGUCGAGGGACCGGCGCACGGGUGAGUAACACGUAUCCAACCUGCCCUUUACUCGGGGAUAGCCUUUCGAAAGAAAGAUUAAUACCUGAUAUAAAGGAUGGGGAUGCGUUCCAUUAGGUUGUUGGUGAGGAAACGGCCCACCAAGCCUUCGAUGGAUAGGGGUUCUGCGAGGAAGGUCCCCAACAUUGGAACUGGGACACGGUCCAAACUCGUACGGGAAGCAGGAGUGAGGAAUAUUGGUCAAUGGGCGUUAGCCUGAAACAGCCAAGUAGCGUGAAGGAUGAAGGCUUAUGGGUCGUAAACUUCUUUUAAAUAAGAAUAUGUAUUAUAUGAAUAAGGAUCGGCUAACUCCGUGCCAGCCGCCGCGGUAAUUC
rnacentral:rRNA from 1 species